rnacentral:lncRNA from 1 species
CAUAUGAUGGAUGCUAUAAUUUUUUAUAAAAAAUAGAGAUAUUUUUAUGAUAAAAAAUUUUGAAUGAUGGAAAUGCUCUUAUUCUUUGAAAAAAAUUAUGACAUCUGAGGUCAAAAUAUGACAUCUGAGGCAGGAAUAUUUUUGUUAUACAAAAGUCAACCUAUAAAAUAUUAAAUGCGUAUUGAAAAAUGAUGACUAUGCGGAUC